rnacentral:rRNA from 1 species
UGCCUACGGGGCGCAGCAGUGAGGAAUAUUGGUCAAUGGUCGGGAGACUGAACCAGCCAAGCCGCGUGAGGGAUGAAGGUACAGAGUAUCGUAAACCUCUUUUGUCAGGGAACAAAGGCGGGGACGUGUCCCCGGAUGAGUGUACCUGAAGAAGAAGCCCCGGCUAACUACGUGCCAGCAGCCGCGGUAAUACGUAGGGGGCAAGCGUUAUCCGGCUUUACUGGGUGUAAAGGGGGCGCAGACGGC